rnacentral:tRNA from 1 species
GCCGAAAUAGCUCAGUUAAGAGAGCGUUAGACUGAAGAUCUAAAUGUCCCUGGUUCAAUUCCGGGUUUCGGCA